UGUAAACUUAUGUUGAAACAUUUUUGAAAAAAAAUAUUUAGGCACCCAAUUCAUUUUAAUUUAUUUAUUUCUCAUUUUUAUUUAUUUAACCCUUAUGUAGAUUUUUCAAAACUGUGGAAUAUAACUUUUUUUUCUCUAUCGACUACCACUGUACUACAAUUACAUCGGGAUCGAAGUCGGGCUCGAAAAGCAAUUUAUUUAAAAACAACACACCGCGCCGAAAUUCAAUUUUUUGGAGAGUUCCACGCAGCCAUGUUGAACUUGAUCAUGAUGUUGUACGGGAGGAAGGGGCGAAAGAGAGUUACUCGAAAAGGAGAAGCAUGAUAAACUUGGGAUGGAAUUUAUGUUUUAACAGAAGAUGAAGACAUUUACGACCCUGUUUAGCGUUGCAGUGUGGACUGUGCCUGAGACGAUUCCCCAUAACGCCGGCUAUGUAGACAGCUUGUGAAAAUGAAAUUGUGCCAGAAAAGUUUGAAGUAGC